rnacentral:rRNA from 1 species
CCGUGAACCUUUACUGCAGCUUGACACUGAACUUUGACCUUACUUGUGUAGGAUAGGUGGGAGGCUUUGAAGCUGGAACGCUAGUUCCAGUGGAGCCGUCCUUGAAAUACCACCCUGGUAAUGUUGAGGUUCUAACUCUGUCCCGUGAUCCGGGACGAGGACCGUGUCUGGUGGGUAGUUUGACUGGGGCGGUCUCCUCCUAAAGAGUAACGGAGGAGUACGAAGGUGCGCUCAGCGUGGUCGGAAAUCACGCGUAGAGUAUAAAGGCAAAAGCGCGCUUAACUGCGAGACCCACAAGUCGAGCAGGUACGAAAGUAGGUCUUAGUGAUCCGGUGGUUCUGUAUGGAAGGGCCAUCGCUCAACGGAUAAAAGGUACUCUGGGGAUAACAGGCUGAUACCGCCCAAGAGUUCAUAUCGACGGCGGUGUUUGGCACCUCGAUGUCGGCUCAUCUCAUCCUGGGGCUGAAGCAGGUCCCAAGGGUAUGGCUGUUCGCCAUUUAAAGAGGUACGCGAGCUGGGUUUAGAACGUCGUGAGACAGUUCGGUCCCUAUCUACCGUGGGCGCUGGAAAUUUGAGAGGAUCUGCUCCUAGUACGAGAGGACCAGAGUGGACGAACCUCUGGUGUACCGGUUGUGACGCCAGUCGCAUCGCCGGGUAGCUAUGUUCGGAAGGGAUAACCGCUGAAAGCAUCUAAGCGGGAAGCCUACCUCAAGAUAAGAUUUCCCUAGGACUUUAUGUCCUCUAAAGAGCCGUUCGAGACUAGGACGUUGAUAGGUUGGAUGUGGAAGCAUAGUGAUAUGUGAAGCUGACCAAUACUAAUUGCUCGUGAGGCUUGACUAUACAACACCCAAGCAGUUG